GGUGAACAGCCCGGGCUCCACGGAGUGAAAAGUACCGUCAGGAGGACGCUUUACCGCGGCAGGAAGAGUCUGAGAGGUGCGGAUGAAACAUGGGAUAAAAACCUGAGUCUGGUGUCCUCCUCACCUGUCUCACCUGCCUGCUGCUGGCUGAGCUUUAACAUCACACAGAGAACCGAGCCAUCAGGGUCUUUUCUAUGAGGACUGUCAUCUGUCUUUGGAGGAAGAAGAUUUUGCAUUUUUAAAGACGUACUUGAAUCACACUGAUAAUGAAAAGGUAGAGGUAACCUUGGAUGGGAGUGUAGGGAGGCUCACCUGGAUGAACUGCCCUGUACGUACCUGCUGGAUGUUUGAAUGGACUGAUAUGUGUCUGAACUAUCCUCUGUUCAUGAAAGGACUUUCUUCUUCAUUCGAAGGUAAAACCCACUUAAAUUGUUGUGACCUCAGGACUCUCAGGAAUGGGUUUGGAGGUCAGGAAUUAUUUUGGUACAGUUUAAGAAAUCAUGACAGGAUCAUUAGAAAUGUAAAUGGUUGUUAUAUUCACAUGAAAGCUCACCUACAACAUAAAACUACUCACACAUUUCAGAAGUGUACUGUCACUGUAAUGUUUAGAUAUUAAUUGUCAAUUUCUCUAAUGUCUGAUUAUUUGGGAUUCAUUUAAUUCAAACAGCUGAGGCUUUUGAAAACUUUAAAGCUGA